GGGCUCACAAGUGGUUCUUGUACCUAAAUUGCAAAUUUGGGGAAUAGAGUUCAAUUCUCUAUGAGCUCU